rnacentral:rRNA from 1 species
GACGAACGCUGGCGGCGUGCUUAACACAUGCAAGUCGAGCGGUAAGGCCCUUCGGGGUACACGAGCGGCGAACGGGUGAGUAACACGUGAGCAAUCUGCCCUUCACUUUGGGAUAACCCCCGGAAACGGGAGCUAAUACCGAAUAUGACCUCGCCAUGCAUGUGGUGGGGUGGAAAGUUCUGGCGGUGGAGGAUGAGCUCGCGGCCUAUCAGCUUGUUGGUGGGGUAAUGGCCUACCAAGGCUUCGACGGGUAGCCGGCCUGAGAGGGUGACCGGCCACACUGGGACUGAGACACGGCCCAGACUCCUACGGGAGGCAGCAGUGGGGAAUAUUGGACAAUGGGCGAAAGCCUGAUCCAGCAACGCCGCGUGAGGGAUGACGGCCUUCGGGUUGUAAACCUCUUUCAGCACAGACGAAGCGAAAGUGACGGUAUGUGCAGAAGAAGCACCGGCCAACUACGUGCCAGCCGCCGCCGUAACAC